UCUAUGCAAUCUGUACGCAAAUAAGACACGUUCUUUGAUGUUCCAGAAAUAUGGAUGAUCAAUAAAGACGGACAUAAAAUUUGGCAAGUUCUCCGUUGAUUUUGGGCUACUUUCCAUUUUAUCAAUCCUGCCAAGAAAAAUAAAAAUAAAUAAAGUAAUUUUGAACUAGAAAGUAUAACGCAAAAAUAAAUAAACAAUACUCACAACUUAUUUUGUCUUAUAAAAUCAAAGAAAUGGACAAGUUCGGAGGGAAGGUCCACGGAGAGAUUCUUAAUAUCAUGUCCACCUUUUUCAUGUGCCAUUGCUAUAAUGGAUGUCAUUGCAUCCACCAAGCUAUUCACAUCACUCUCUAUAUUCUGCCGCAUCAUGUGCACACUUUUCUGCUCGAAAUCCAAUGCAGGGUCCAUUGAAGGCAAAAUCCUACCUUUUCCAGUGUGGGUAGAGACAAAGAUAUUGUUAGCCAGAUUGCCACACAUCUUCUUCAUUCUAUAGAGGUAGAUAAGACCAUGGAUGACGCCCCUACGCAAAAACAUAAAAAUCUUUUAUAAUGAAAUCUAAUAAACGCACACUCCUAAAAUCUACAAAGAUAUUUCAUUUGUAAAAAGGAUACCUGAAAAUAAGUCGAAAUUUCAUUUGAAUGUGGUCCCACCACAUUUUGGUUGUUGAUCCUUUAAAUUCAGCAUAUUCUUUUUCAAAGUAUUGUUUAACUUGACACACCUUUUCAACCAUUAGUGCGUAUUUAUUACCACCACUCAACUCUUCUUGAUGAUGGAAGACAGAUACAAGAUUAUUAUCACUCAACUCUUGAAG
rnacentral:lncRNA from 1 species